CGCUUUGUACCCAUCUUGGCUACGUCUCUCCUUGCUCUUCUGCUCCUUUUUGAGUUCGGAUCAGCACUAGAACCGCAAGCGGUGCCUGAAGGCGCCCUCCCCAAAGGCACCAUGGAUUGUGGAAAAGCAUGCACCGGCAGGUGCAGAUUAUCGUCGAGGCCACACCUUUGCAAGAGGGCUUGUGGGACAUGUUGUGCAAGGUGUAGCUGUGUGCCUUCGGGGACCGAUGGAAAUGCAAAAAUGUGCCCAUGUUAUUAUAACAUGAAGACUCAUGGCAACAAACCCAAGUGCCCUUAAGCCAUAACAGAGUGCUUCUAGUUGCCACUAAACAUGGGCUUCCCUUUCUUCUCUCUUCAUUCACUAGAUAGGCCAGUCUAUGUACUUGUGAGUAGAUUUAGAACGUUCAUACUGUAGAAAUAAGCGUUCUCCUCCCUCUAGCUUUAGAGGGAGAUGUUUCCAUGUAGCAUCGUUCAAUGCAGAAUGUUGUUUGCAACUAAAAGAA